GUGGGAGGGGGCUUGCUCCCGAUGACGGUGUUUCAGUCACCAAAUGUGUUUGGUGACGCACCGCGAUCGGGAGCAAGCCCCCUCCCAU
rnacentral:misc_RNA from 1 species